AUACGGAGGAUGCAAGCGUUAUCCGGAUUUAUUGGGUUUAAAGGGAGCGUAGGCGGAUGAUUAAGCGUGAGGUGAAAUGCCACUGCUCAACAGUGGAACUGCCUCGCGAACUGGUUGUCUUGAAUGCUCCUGCCGUGGGAGGAAUGUGUGGUGUAGCGGUGAAAUGCAUAGAGAUCACACAGAACACCGAUUGCGAAGGCAUCUCACGAAGGGGUGAUUGACGCUGAGGCACGAAAGCGUGGGGAUCAAACAGGAUUAGAUACCCUGGUAGUCCACGCAGUAAACGAUGAUAACUAACCGCUGGGUCGUAGUGAUUCAGUGGCCAAGCGAAAGCGAUAAGUUAUCCACCUGGGGAGUACGACCGCAAGGUUGAAACUCAAAGGAAUUGACGGGG
rnacentral:rRNA from 1 species